AUUCGUCUAAAAAAAUUAAUUUUUAUUAAAAAAUUCAUAUGUAGUUGUAAUAUACAUUAAUGUAACCUAAGCAUCUCAACCAAAAUAAUAAUUUUAGUGUAUCAUUGUUUAAUUUUUUAUUUUUUGUCAGUAUUUUCAUCAUAAAUUAAAACAUUUAAGUUUCUUGCAAAUUUAUGCCUGUCUUAGAGUAAGUGUUUUUCAGUUUUUAUGGUAUUGUUAAUUAAUCAAGAGUACUCUAGUAUUCAUCAAUAUCAUUGUUUUUCUAAUUGUUUAGUAUUGGUUAGAAAUACUGAUAGAGUGGGCUUAAAUCUAAAGUAAAAUUAUAAUUAUUUAUAUAAUAAAUUAAUUUACAGACAAAACUUGAGUAAAAACGCUAAAAAAAUAUUACAUAAAAAAAAAAUUAAUAAUCACUAAUAUUUUUUUGUAUACUAAAAUGAUAUCAUUGUAUGUAAAAAUGUAAUGUAAAAAUUAUUGUGUUAUUUUGAUGUUCGUCGUGAAUAUACAAUGUACAUAUUAUGUCUAUCUGUUAUCUGUAAUUGUGAAUACAUGUGUAUCUACUCGCCGUAUUUUAUUAUUGCAUUAGUCAGUUGUGCCGAACCAUGUUAACCUUCUUAAGAUGGACCCUUUAGAGUAAUAUCACAAACAGCAAAAAUUUCAAAUUGGAGAUCGGAAGAAAUAUAGUUUAUGUUUCAAUAGAUAGAGUAAAACCAUGUUCUUUAAUAAAUCUAUCAAUUGAUGAAGACAACAUUCAACAGUCCCAGUAAACAACACUAAAUGUAACGGAUGAGCAAAAAAUUAUAAUUUUUGAACCAAAACAAUUUCUCACUCGUCCAGAAUGAAGAAUUAUUUAUUCUGGACGAGUGGUCCGUUUUCCAAACAAUUAUUAUCGUUAACUUUUCAUUAGGAAGGGGAGUACUGUGGCGACUAUGAACAAAUUAUUGUGUUAUUUCAAAAUUUAUUGUGAAUUUAUAUUUUAUGUAUUUAUCUGUAAUUGUAAAUGUAUGUUUACCAACCCGAUGUAUUUUAUUAUUGCAUUAGUCAGUUGUGCCGAUCCAUUUAUACCGACACGUAAGCUAAAGUUGUAUUUUUAAAUAUCAGUUAUAAUUAUUAAACAUAUUUUUCUUUUUUCAACAAGAUAAUAUUUUUUGUUGAAUUCCUUAUUGUUUAAAUUAUUUUACAUCGUCGCAACAUAAUAACCAGAAAACAUCAUUUUUACUCACCGAUUUGACUAUGAAAUAAUAUUCUUACAUUUUCUUCUUGUGUAUGAAGCCAAAAUGGACUUAUUUCAUUAUAAGUUCCUACUGGACAAUUCAUCUAUAACAAACCUAACAUAAAGUUAAAAUUCGUUUUGAUUGGGUCAUUGGCCAGAAUGAAAUAAAAUUCAAAGUUGUAUAUGUUAUUUCAUAUGGCGAGAAUAAUCAUAGUUACUUGUACUACACGUGAUACGCUUUUUUCUGUUUUUGGAUGACAGUUUAAUAUCGUAAUAGAUAAGAAACUGACAACAGACGCAACAAUUGUAAACAAUAUUAUGUGUUACAAUUUUAAUAAUACUUAAUGACUAACUUCAUUCUGUAAAUGGAUAAUCGAUUAUUAAUUGUAACAAAUAACGAUCCAAGAAUUCCACCAAAAGUUCCAAAUGCGAUAAAAAUAGGAAAUUCAGAAUAAGAAAAUGUUAGAGUUGUUUCAUUAAAAUUACCAAAAAAAAAAAUGGUUCAUGUUUGCACUGAAAAAAAUUGCAAUAACUCAAGAUAUGACACCAUAAAUGAUGAUUGUAAGAUGUUUAAAAUACCAAAGGAUAUUCGUCGUUAUAAAGAAUGGUUACAACAUUUUAAUAGAAAUGAUUUGUUAGACAAAUGAAUUGAUACAUUGCAUUAGUAUUAUAUAGUUUGUAAUAUUCAUUUCAAACCUAAUAUGUUUUCUAACCUUGAGAAGUCUAGACUUUUUCCUAAUGCUGUCCUUAUAGAGUUUCGUAAGUAUUAAUCAAGUAUAUAAUUUUUUACUAUUAAAAUUACACUUAAACAAUUUUAAAAUUAUAGAAAUUAAUACUACUAAUGUGAAGAUACAUUUAAUGUUAUUU